UCUACUACACAUAGCUACUUAUUAACUAACUCUACUAUCUAAUUAUUUUGUUUUCUCUCUCUUUCAGACAUCACUCAUGGAGCUCCAUCUACAGCUGAGGAUGGUUGAGAAGGGACUGAGGGGGGCCGGGACGCACGAGCGCUAAUGGCGACACAAGGCACCUACUACGCAUGCACGUCCUGACCAGACAUUGCUACCAAAAGUCUCCAAUGAAUGGCGCCAGGACACACCACCUACCGUGGAGCACCCACAGGGACAGCAGUCAAAGAAGAAGUGUCAGUUCAGUACACUGAACCAGUCAGUUAUAGUCAGAGCACUUAUUGGAAGAUGAUGAACUACAUGAAGUCAGUGCUGGUUUCUUGGAUGAAGGCUCCAUUGAAUGCCGGACCACGUGUCCGCAGCCAAUUUGUCGCAUCCCUCUGGCCCCUCACAUACUUCUUCAUCCCAGGUGAAGGCUCCUUAUCUGUCACAAAGCCACGUCAUUCCUCAUCCAGCAGAUGGUGUUUUCUCCCUUAA
rnacentral:lncRNA from 1 species